UACGUAGGGUGCGAGCGUUGUCCGGAAUUACUGGGCGUAAAGAGCUCGUAGGUGGUUUGUCGCGUUGUUCGUGAAAACUCACAGCUUAACUGUGGGCGUGCGGGCGAUACGGGCAGACUGGAGUACUGCAGGGGAGACUGGAAUUCCUGGUGUAGCGGUGGAAUGCGCAGAUAUCAGGAGGAACACCGGUGGCGAAGGCGGGUCUCUGGGCAGUAACUGACGCUGAGGAACGAAAGCGUGGGGAGCGAACAGG
rnacentral:rRNA from 1 species